rnacentral:rRNA from 1 species
AAUAUUGGACAAUGGGGGCAACCCUGCUCCAGCCAUGCCGCGUGUUUGAAGCAGGUCUUCGGAUUGUACAGCACUUUAAGUUGGGAGGAAGGUUUCUAGGCUAAUACCCUGAAGUUUUGACGUUACCGUCAGAAUAAGCACCGUCUAACUUCGUGCCAGCAGCCGCGGUAAUACGAAGGGUCCAAGCGUUAAUCGGAAUUCCUGGGCGUAAAGCGGGCGUAGGUGGUUUGUUAAGUUGGAAGUGAAAGCCCCGGGCUCAACCUGGGAACUGCUUUCAAAACUGGCAAGCUAGAGUAUGGCAGAGGGUGGUGGAAUUUCCUGUGUAGCGGUGAAAUGCGUAGAGAUAGGAAGGAACACCAGUGGCGAAGGCGACCACCUGGGCUAAUACUGACACUGAGGUGCGAAAGCGUGGGGAGCAAACAGG